AAUAGAUACCCGGGGUAGUCCACGCCGUAAAACGAUGAGUGCUAAGUGUUAGAGGGUUUCCGCCCUUUAGUGCUGCAGCUAACGCAUUAAGCACUCCGCCUGGGGAGUACGGCCGCAAGGCUGAAACUCAAAGGGAUUGACGGGGGCCCGCACAAGCGGUGGAGCAUGUGGUUUAAUUCGAAGCAACGCGAAGAACCUUACCAGGUCUUGACAUCCUCUGCCAACCCUAGAGAUAGGGUGUUCCCCUUCGGGGGACAGAGUGACAGGUGGUGCAUGAUUGUCGUCAGCUCGUGUCGUGAGAUGUUGGGUUAAGUCCCGCAACGAGCGCAACCCUUGAUCUUAAGUUGCCAGCAUUUAGUUGGGCACUCUAAGGUGACUGCCGGUGACAAACCGGAGGAAGUGGGGAUGACGUCAAAUCAUCAUGCCCCUUAUGACCUGGGCUACACACGUGCUACAAUGGAUGGUACAAAGAGCUGCGAACCCGCGAGGGUAAGCCAAUCUCAUAAAAGCCAUUCUCAGUUCGGA
rnacentral:rRNA from 1 species